rnacentral:rRNA from 1 species
GACGUAGGGCGCGAGCGUUGUCCGGAUUUAUUGGGCGUAAAGAGCUCGUAGGCGGCUUGUCGCGUCGGCUGUGAAAUCCCGUGGCUCAACUGCGGGUCUGCAGCCGAUACGGGCAGGCUAGAGUUCGGUAGGGGAGACUGGAAUUCCUGGUGUAGCGGUGAAAUGCGCAGAUAUCAGGAGGAACACCGGUGGCGAAGGCGGGUCUCUGGGCCGAUACUGACGCUGAGGAGCGAAAGCGUGGGGAGCGAACAGGAUUAGAAACCCCCGUAGUCC